CCAAUCAGAACCACUGAUACAAACUAAUUGCAUUAGAAUUACAAAUGGCUGGCGUAGAUUUAGCAAAACCCAAAGGAAGAAAAAGACAAAUCGAGCCAAGAGAAGAUUUCCGUGACGAACUUAAUGACAGAAAAAGGUCGAAAUGUGAUUGCUAUGAAAGAUGUUUUAAUAUCAAAUCUGUCAAAGCUUGGGCCAAUUUGAUACUGGAAUGUGAAUGUUCAUGCAACAUUGAAUGCAUGUCGAAAUGCAGCAAGGAAUGUAUGUUGAAAUGCAACGAGGAAUGCAAGGGGAACAAGCAAUGGAUAGGAGGUCAAAAUAAAAUAGUACUUACACACAAUAAUCAUAUUGUCGGAAACAGGGAUAUAACAAUGAUGGAGCAGUCUGAACAUAAGAAUUCCAUCAUGCUGAGAAAUCUUACAAAAGCUGAUUGGAACUCAACUUUUACCUGCAGUUUUGGUACACUUUUUAAGUCAAUCAGCUUAGAUGGAUAUAAUGAGCAGUCUGCUCAAGCUUCACAUACAUUCACUACUGCUACCGUAGCAGGUGCACCAAAUGACAUGACUUUUACCGCAUCAGAUGCACCAAAUGUCACUACUGCUAUCCCAUUUGAUCAAGAUAUAGCUGUGCCGAUUGCUGGAUGUGUUAUAGGAAUUGCACUAGUUACAUAUGCAGGAUAUAAUGUCCUAAAAUGGAUACUCAAAAGGAGAAGGCAACAAAGGGAGUAGAAGACAGAAGAAGAAAAAGACGAUUUGCUAUAGUGUGAUAAUUGUAGGGUCUUCAGUUCAGAUAAAGAUCAAUAUAAUUGAUGCUGACAAAUUGAUUUUGGUCAUGGAUGAACAGAAAUCACAUACGCAUCAACAUUUUUUAUAGAGUUCUUGUUUGUUUUUUCAAUUUAUAGUUUGAAAUAUUUAAAUAUAUUAUGUUGUUCUUUAUUUUUGAUUAUAUAUAUAUAACAAGUUUUGUAAAGGAAGUUUUUUAUAAUAAUAAUGUAACUUUAACGAAAGCAUUUUGCUGAGAUAAUUGACCAUAUUUUAACCCUAACCCUUAAACAAUGAGGAAAAUGCCUUUUACCUGUAUAUUUAAAAGAUGCUUUAUUAUGUGUUGACAAUAGCAAGGUUUUUGCAAAGUUCCAAGAUAUUCCAGUUCCAGUUCCAUUCCAGUUUGAUCAAUGAUAAAGUAUGAUGCUUACCGUUUGUCUUUUAUUUAGGAAUGAAAUUGAACUAUUUUAAUCAUUAAAGGAGGAAAUAUGAUAAGAGCCAUUAUUGGAUCCCUGAAAUGGCGAAUUACGUAUGCAAAUCCUUUAAAAUCAUGUUAAUUUAUUGGUUAUUUUAGUGCAGAAAGGUCACUGAUGUCAUAAACAUAAAUUGAAAUGCGCAUGAAAUGUCAUUUUAUGCAUAGUUUUUAGACAAAACUUCAAGGCCAUACAUAAAAAGACAGUUUACAGACAUAACAUUUUUGUAAAAUACAUCUCAUAAAAAUAUCUUUAUGGGGAAACUAAUAACAUCUCAAAAUGCGGCUGCAUUGGCAAUUUUCCCUCACUUUUGAAGCUUUUGUAGAAAUUUUAUUGGUAAGACAAAAUUCAAAACUUCACAAACUAACACAAAGAGGUUAUUGUCUUUAUAUUAUGAAGGAUAUUUUCAGAAUUCAAGGGACCAAAAAGGAGGCUUAAUCAGUCAUUCUCCUUUAUGAAAUUUUAGCUUUGUCUGGUGGUAUAAGUGAUGAUAUAUUUUUGACCUUAUUAAAGAUGUGCUUGUAAAUAAUUUAUAAAUUAUAUAUUUUUAAUGUGUUUAGUUGUAUAUUUAGUGUUUAUAUGCUGGGUAAUGAUUUUUGUUUUAACAGGGUUUUUACGUAUUGAUCUUGUAUCUUUGCUUGUAAGAUUAAUAAUUGACACUAUUAUUAAAUAAUCCUUAUCUUAUCUUAUCUUCAAAUAAUAUCAGUCAAAAUUGUCUUUUAGGGGAAGGAAAAAGUAAUCAAAACAAGAACUUUUACCCCUACCCAAUAUUUUGGAAAGUUUGAAGCAGCAACUUUAUUUUUUGUUUGCAUUUCGGCUUUACUGCAUGUAAUACUGCACUUAUUUAAUGUAAUUAAAAUGACUUUCCAUCUUAAGUAUCUAAAAUUAAGAAUGCUUUUUGUUUUGACUGUAAUGGCUAUGAAAUUGUUAUAUUAAACGUUUUUAACUCAAUGUUGAAAAGAAAUAACUCAGAAAUGUUUAAUAUUUUUUUGUCAUGAAACAGCUUUGCUUCAAAUCAUUUCUAUUAUGUAAAUAACAUUUUCUUGUUUAGUUACAAUAAUUUGAAGAGUCAAAUUUAUCUUUUGAAUAGUAAGGCUUCAUAAAAAUGAGACGAGAAAUGCGGAAUGUGUCAAAGAGACAACAACCCGACCAAAGAGCAAAAAAACAACUGAAGGCCACCCGGAGGCGUGUUUUCAGAUGGCCCCUAAACAAAAAUAUGUAUUAGUCUAGUGAUAAUGUGCUAAAUUCCAAAACAUAUAAAUGUACUAAAAUUAAAAAUCAUUAAAGACUAACAAAGGCCAGAGGCUCCUGACUUGGACCAGGCGCAAAAAUGCAGCGGGGUUAAACAUGUUUUGUGAGAUCUCAACCUCCCCCUGUACCUCAAGCCAAUGUAGAAAAAACAAACACACACAUUCAUGUUUGAUUGACAUAUCAGUGUAUGGUCUAAAUAUCGUCAGAUAGUAGCAAAUUGUAGUCCAAAGUUGUUAUAGAUCUCUUUCAAUGAAAUACUGAGAUUAUUAUCAAAAGCUAAAUAAUUUUCAAUAUUUUAUAGGUAUAUUAUGAAGCAUGAUUUUUAUACGGGACGUAUUAUGGUAUACCGUUGUCCGUCUGUCUGUCCGUCGUCAACAUGUCGGACAUUAACUCAAAAACGCUUUAACCAAUUUGCAUAAAACUUUGGUGAAUUGUUUAAAUUUAUUGACGUGAGCUCCCUUUCAUUUUUUAUAAAUUUUAGAUUUUACGUUUCCGAGUUAUGGGGUUUUAUUCAUUUAAAAAAAGGGGGAUUUUCCAAUUUUCGGACAAUAACUCAAGAAUGCUUUCACCAACUUGCAAGAAAUUGUGGUGAAUUGUUUAUAUCUAUUGACAUGAGCUCCCUUUCGAUUUUUAUAAAUUUUAGAUUUUACGUUUCCGAGUUACAGGGUUUUAUUAAAAAAUAAAGGGGGAUUUUCCAGUUUUCAGACAAAAACUCAAAAAUGCUUUCAGCAGUUCUUAUGAAACUUUGGUGAAUUGUUUAUAUCUAUUGAUAUGAGCUCCCUUUAGAAUUUUAUAAAUUUUCCAUUUUACAUUUCUGAGUUAUGGGGUUUUAUUCAUUAAAAAGGGGGGGAUUUUCCAGUUUUCGAACAAUAACUCAAAAAUGCUGUCAGCAAUUCUCAUGAAACUUUGGUGAAUUAUUUAUAUCUAUUGAUGUAAGCUCCCUUUUGAUUUUGAUAAAUUUCUAAUAUGACAUUGAGAAUUAAUUGAACUUUAUUUGUUUAUAGUCUGACAACAGAUUUACUAAGUAUUGCACAACAGCACAGUGUAUUGCACAAUAGCAAGAAAUCUUCAAUUGAAUAUAAAUUCAAUUCAUAUAACCAAUUUCAACUUCUUUGACUACAUUUAUUCAGAAACCUGUAAUAUGUCAAAUAUUUAAUUACAAUCCAAAUUCAGACCUGUAUCAAUCUUGAAUAUUGUGUCCAUUUUUGCCCCAACUGUUCAGGGUUGGACCUCUGCAGGCGUAUCCAACUGCGCUCAGCGAAGCAGUUUAUUAUUCUUUUGUCCCUUGAAUUUAUAUGACAGUGAUGUCUGUAAUGUUGUCAUGCAAAUCAAGAAUAUUCCAUUUAAACGUGUUAUGGAUGCAUUUUCAAAUUUGUUAUUGUCAAGGGUCAAAGCAAAUUGAGAUUAAUGAUGAAGAAGUGUUAUGAAAUAAAGGAUCACAAAUGUAAAACAAAUCUGGUGUUAUUUAUGGUUAGAUUUGUUAUUUUCUAGCCAAAAAUGUAAUAUCAAUAAGAUAAUAUGUAAAGCUACUAGUACCUGGUUUCUCAUUUUAAGAUUAUAUCGACAUGUUCAAAUGAAUUGUGUUGAUUCUCAUGUAAGCAGAAGACAUUCCGCUGAAUCUCUGAAAAUAAUGGUUGUUUCUUUUAUUUAAUAAAAAAUGUUAUGUCUUGA